rnacentral:rRNA from 1 species
GAUGAACGCUGGCGGCGUGCCUAAUACAUGCAAGUCGAGCGAACAGAUGAGGAGCUUGCUCCUCUGACGUUAGCGGCGGACGGGUGAGUAACACGUGGAUAACCUACCUAUAAGACUGGGAUAACUUCGGGAAACCGGAGCUAAUACCGGAUAAUAUAUUGAACCGCAUGGUUCAAUAGUGAAAGACGGUUUUGCUGUCACUUAUAGAUGGAUCCGCGCCGCAUUAGCUAGUUGUUAAGGUAACGGCUUACCAAGGCAACGAUGCGUAGCCGACCUGAGAGAGUGAUCGGCGACACUGGAACUGAGACGCGGUCCAGACGCCUGCGAGAGGCAGCAGUAGGGAAUCUUCCGCAGUGGGCGAAAGCCUGACGGAGCAACGCCGCGUGAGUGAUGAAGGUCUUCGGAUCGUAAAACUCUGUUAUGAGGGAAGAACAAAUGUGUAAGUAACUAUGCACGGCUUGACGGUACCUAAUCAGAAAGCCACGGCUAACUACGUG